rnacentral:piRNA from 1 species
UCUACAGCCAGUUUUUACAGA